rnacentral:rRNA from 1 species
UAAGCGGAGGAAAAGAACUAACAAGGAUUCCCCUAGUAACUGCGAGUGAAGCGGGAAAAGCUCAAAUUUGGAAUCUGGUGGUCUUNGGCCAUCCGAGUUGUAAUUUAGAGAAGCGUCUUCCGCGCUGGACCGUGCACAAGUCUCCUGGAAUGGAGCGUCAUAGAGGGUGAGAAUCCCGUCUUUGGCAUGGAAUCCCAGGGCUUCUGUGAUGCGCUCUCGACGAGUCGAGUUGUUUGGGAAUGCAGCUCAAAAUGGGUGGUGAACUCCAUCUAAAGCUAAAUAUUGGCGAGAGACCGAUAGCGAACAAGUACCGUGAGGGAAAGAUGAAAAGCACUUUGGAAAGAGAGUGAAACAGUACGUGAAAUUGUUGAAAGGGAAACGCUUGAAGUCAGUCGCGUCGACCGAGACUCAGCCUUGCCUCGGCUUGGUGUACUUCUCGGCUUGACGGGUCAGCAUCGAUUUCAAUCCUCGGAUAAUGGCAAGGGAAAGGUAGCACCUUUUUAGGUGUGUUAUAGUCCUCUGUCGCAUGCGAGGGUCGGGAUCGAGGAACUCAGCACGCACCUCAGGGUGUCGGGGCCUUGGCCCACGUUUACGUGCUUAGGAUGCUGGCGUAAUGGCUUUAAACGACC